UGGGGAAUAGUUCAAUGGUAGAACGACGGGCUCUGACUCCGUUAAUCUUGGUUCGAAUCCAGGUUCCCCAGCCA
rnacentral:tRNA from 1 species